GGAGAGUUAGCUUAAAUGGUAAAGCAUUCCCCUACUAAAGAUAAAGGUUCGACCCCUUUACUCUCCACCA
rnacentral:tRNA from 1 species